rnacentral:rRNA from 1 species
AGCCGGUUUCGUAAGUUCCUGGUAAAAUCGGGUAGCUUAACUAUUCGUAUGCUAGGAAUACUGCGGUACUAGAGGGCGGGAGAGGUCUGAGGUACUACAGGGGUAGGGGUGAAAUCUUAUAAUCCUUGUAGGACCACCAGUGGCGAAAGCGUCAGACUGGAACGCGCCUGACGGUGAGGGACGAAAGCCCAGGGGAGCGAACCGGAUUAGAUACCCGGGUAGUCCUGGCCGUAAACGAUGCAUACUAGGUAAUGGCACGGCCAUGAGCCGUGUCAGUGCCGUAGGGAAACCGUUAAGUGUGCCGCCUGGGAAGUACGGUCGCAAGGCUAAAACUUAAAGGAAUUGGCGGGGGAGCACCACAAGGGGUGAAGCUUGCGGUUCAAUUGGAGUCAACGCCGGGAACCUUACCGGGGGCGACAGCAGAAUGAAGGCCAGAUUGAAGGUCUUGCUAGACAAGCUGAGAGGAGGUGCAUGGCCGUCGCCAGUUCGUGCCGUGAGGUGUCCUGUUAAGUCAGGCAACGACCGAGACCCGCGCCCCUAGUUGCUACUGAGGAAGUUUUCCGAGGGGAACUCUAGGGGGACUGCCGUCGACAAGACGGAGGAAGGAGCGGGCUACGGCAGGUCAGUAUGCCCCGAAUCCCCCGGGCUACACGCGAGCUGCAAUGGCAGGGACAAUGGGUUCCAACCCUGAAAAGGGAAGGCAAUCUCUAAAUCCUGCCUCAGUUUGGAUCGAAGGCUGGAACCCG